CAGUCGCCACGGUAAUACGUAGGUGGCAAACGUUGUCCGGAUUUACUGGGCGUAAAGCGAACGCAGGCGGACUGUUAAGUAGGAAGUGAAAGGUCGGAGCUCAACUCCAACAUUGCUUCCUAUACUGGCAGUCUUGAGUAGCGGAGAGGAAGGGGGAACGACACGUGUAGCGGUGAAAUGCGUUGAUAUGUGUCGGAACACCCAUGGCGAAAGCACCCUUUUGGACGCAAACUGACGCUCAGGUUCGAAAGCCAAGGUAGCGAACAGGAUUAGAUACCCCCGUAGUCCCUGUCUCUUAUAC
rnacentral:rRNA from 1 species